UUUUCAUGCUAGAGCAAAAUCAAAACAAAUAAUUUAACUAUUCACUGACAUCCCAGACACACACACAGCACCCCGAGCUCAUGGACAAGUCAAAGAAUCCACUUAUAUUAAAUGAAAUCAUGUAUUUAUAACAGCAGAAAAUUAUGACAGAGACUUCCCCCCUUCUUUCUGCUCGGAAUCCUUGGAGUAUGGAGACCUGGCCAAAAAGCACUGGUUUGAAUUGGUAAUAAGUGAACUGUUAGCAUGAACGGCAAAAUAGUAUGUCAGCUUGCCCUUUCCUGACAGCCCCUCCUCCAACAUGCCAAGCAGUGGAAAAUUUCAUCAGCCAAUGCAUUUUUAAACAAACACUGCAUCCUUGGUUUCAAAGAAGGUGGAAAAAGAAAGGAAAAGAGAGCAGAGGAAAGGAGUGGGUGGUUCUGGGGAGACAGGGGCAUCCGCUACUCUACAGUUGGCUGCUUUCAGAUAGCCAGCUGGCCAGUAUCUGAGGGCAGGCUUGUGAAUUCUCACUUUCCCUGACAGCCCCUCGGGCUCACUCCUGACUGACAGAUUUCUAAGCCAGCCUGUCCACAGGGCAACAUGACCCCUGUGGACAACAACAACUCUGCUUCCUUAACCAACAGAGACCACCAUAAUGGUGAUGGAUGAAGGGAAGGAAGAAGGGAGAGAAGAGAGUGGAAGAGGAAGAAAGAAAGAAAAAAAUCUGUAGAAAACUCCAAAAGAAAAAAACAGGUAAUAGAACAUUAUGAUAUGAAUGACAUAAAAAUAUUCUUCAUGUGGACAUGAUAGAAAAGAUAUGAUGGGGAAAAGCAUGUAAUAGAAAAGUGUGCAAUCUUAGUUGGAAAAAAAAAUGUAUCCAAAAACAAAAUGUGGAGGAUGGCUGUUUAUCUAAAUGAGGCUGAAAUUACACAAUUUUUAAAAAUAAUCUUUGUAGAUUUUUUCCAAUAAAAAUCUUGUAUAAGAAGCAGAAAGUUUUGAGUCUUGACUUAUGUCCAUGUAUGACAAAUGUUUCAUUAUUAGAAUAGAGAUUGAUUUGCUGUCGACUCAAUGGUUUAUUGAUACAAAACCCAAAUGACUCUCCAGAAGUCCUAAAAAUUUACUUACAGAGAGAUAUCUGUUACUAGGUUAAUCUGAC